rnacentral:rRNA from 1 species
UUCCGGUUGAUCCUGCCGGACCUGACUGCUAUCGGAUUGAUACUAAGCCAUGCGAGUCAUUGUAGUAAUACAAGGCAGACGGCUCAGUAACGCGUAGUCAACCUAACCUAUGGACGGGAAUAACCUCGGGAAACUGAGUAUAAUGCCCGAUAGAACAUUAUGCCUGGAAUGGUUUAUGUUCCAAAUGAUUUAUCGCCGUAGGAUGGGACUGCGGCCUAUCAGUUUGUUGGUGAGGUAAUGGCCCACCAAGACUAUUACAGGUACGGGCUCUGAGAGGAGUAGCCCGGAGAUGGGUACUGAGACACGGACCCAGGCCCUAUGGGGCGCAGCAGGCGAGAAAACUUUGCAAUGUGCGAAAGCACGACAAGGUUAAUCCGAGUGGUUUCUGCUAAAGGAACCUUUUGUUAGUCCUAGAAACACUAACGAAUAAGGGGUGGGCAAGUUCUGGUGUCAGCCGCCGCGGUAAAACCAGCACCUCAAGUGGUCAGGAUGAUUAUUGGGCCUAAAGCAUCCGUAGCCGGCUCUGUAAGUUUUCGGUUAAAUCUGUACGCUCAACGUACAGGCUGCCGGGAAUACUGCAGAGCUAGGGAGUGGGAGAGGUAGACGGUACUCGGUAGGAAGGGGUAAAAUCCUUUGAUCUAUUGAUGACCACCUGUGGCGAAGGCGGUCUACCAGAACACGUCCGACGGUGAGGGAUGAAAGCUGGGGGAGCAAACCGGAUUAGAUACCCGGGUAGUCCCAGCUGUAAACUAUGCAAACUCAGUGAUGCAUUGACUUGUGGUCAAUGCAGUGCUGCAGGGAAGCCGUUAAGUUUGCCGCCUGGGAAGUACGUACGCAAGUAUGAAACUUAAAGGAAUUGGCGGGGGAGCACCACAAGGGGUGAAGCCUGCGGUUCAAUUGGAGUCAACGCCGGG